GUGAGCUGGGUUCAGAACGUCGCGAGACAGUUCGGUCCCUAUCUGCCAUGGGCGUUGGAUGGUUGAGAGGAGCUGUUUUUAGUACGAGAGGACCGAAAUGGACGAACCUCUGGUGUACCUGUUGUCCUGCCAAGGGCACGUGCAGGGUAGCUAUGUUCGGAAGGGAUAACCGCUGAAGGCAUCUAAGUGGGAAGCCCGCCUCAAGAUAAACCAUCCCUGGGGGUUUAACCCCCCUGAAGGUACCAGGAAGACUACCUGGUUGAUAGGGUGGAGGUCUAAGUGUAGUAAUACAUUCAGCCGACCACUACUAAUCUACCGUGAGGCUUGACCAU
rnacentral:rRNA from 1 species